CCCCAGCCGUUGAUCAAAAUCCUGAUCUAACGGUUGGGGACUUGAAAGGCAAUACCGGCGACAAAAGUAGGUUAUUAGCGGCGACAGCUGUCUCCGCUAAAAGUCUGUGUCCCACAUUAAACCCUAGCCACACAAAUCUUAUCCUGAUUAACCCAAUAGCGGCGACGACAGGAUCAAUACCGGCGACAUAGCGUCUCCGCUAAAAGUCGAAACGUAAAAACACUUUAUCAGCGACUUUCCCUCUUUCUUCUUCACUUUCCCCCCAAAUUUCUUCCUUCCACCGCCGGUUCUUCCCGAAUUUUGGCCCACUCGAAACUCCGGUCACCGCCAUCUCUUCUCCGGUCACCACCAUCUCUUCUCCGGUCACCACCUCAAAAACCGUUGCAUAAUGCCUAUCGAUAAAAGUUGGAUUGAUUCCCCACGUCAUUCACCUCAAUACAAGCAAGGACUCGAGUCAUUUAUCGAGAUGUGUGAAAGAGUGAUAAAAAACCACGAUGAAGUUAGAUGUCCGUGUACCCAAUGUAAAAAUUCCGGCUUAAUAACUAUGGCAGAAAUGAAAUACCAUUUGCGUAUUAACAAAUUUUGGAAGGAAUACACUUCGUGGACCUAUCACAGGGACACGACUCCAAUUGCACAAGUAAACGAUGUUGCGCCACAAGACGGUAUGGUAAACGUUAUUGAAGACAUUAGGGGGGAGCGUAUGGAAGAAGAUACAUACCUUAACCAAGAGAACUCGAAUGGAGAUAG